GAGCCUCGUGGGGACGGAUUUCGACACUUCCUCUAUUCUACCGCUGCUCCUGAUGGCAUAUUAAGAGAAUGUGGGUCAGGCAGCUAGAUCGCCACGUGACAGACACAUCUCUUCACUUCCUGGUGACUCAGUUUCCCUGUCUGCACACUGGAGUCAUAAAAUGGGGUUAAGGGUAGACAGAGCCCCUCCAUCCUGCCUUGUGAUUCGUCAGCAUUGCCUUUGGUGACCACAGAGGGUGAUUCAGGCUUGUCCUGGGCCCCAUCCAAUUCUAUGACACUCAGUUCUUGGGGACUUAGUACCCAGAGAUGUUUCUUUGUUCUUCUUCUUGAUCAUAUAGAGUUGACAAGGGUGCUCUGUUGUGACUGUGGACUUUGUAACUGAUCCCUUGAGCAGGCUUCAGGGACACCCUGGUUAUGAUAUGCAUGGCAUUCACAAAGAUGAGACCAGUCCUGUGUUAUGAUGGAUCAUGGCAGGUGAGGUGCCAACAUGAUAGAAUAAUGAAGGUAGCAGCUGCUGGCACAGACCUGCUCCUUAUAGGGAGUUGAGACUUCGUCAAUUUUGCACAGACCAAGAUUAGGGAUUGUCAAGAAACAGCCCCCCGGUCCUUUUUACAAUUUCCUGCUCACUGUUGCCUAGUAGAGAAUACCAGAUUUUUAAAUAGAUAUAUCAUGUUCAUCAAAAACAUCAAGGUGUCCCCCAGAUUACCAAG
rnacentral:lncRNA from 1 species